rnacentral:lncRNA from 1 species
CUAGACGCUGCCCCAGCUCUGAGAGCCAGAUGUGACAUAACCAGCUCCGUGUCCAAGGUCCCCAAGGUGAGGGCCAAGCCUGCACGUGGCUUUCUGUGGGUGGCGUCCAGGAGAAUGUUCUUUGUUCCUCUUUUCACCUUUCGCUGGCAGUGCUUUAUUCAGUGAGCAUGGGGCAUUGAUGAGGCCCCUAUUACAGUGGGGCGCUGGGAGGGCCCUUCCCUACCCCUGCUUUUUGGGGUCCUUACUCCUCGCCCGCCCCAUUUCCUCCUGCAUAUGCCAGUCUGUGGAUCCUUCACAGCCUGGUGCCACCCCCCAGAUGGCAG